AGAGUUUGAUCCUGGCUCAGAACGAACGCUGGCGGCGCGCUUAAUACAUGCAAGUCGAACGAGAACGUCCGACUUCGGUUGGACUAGUAAAGUGGCGAACGGGUGAGUAACACGUGAGGAACAUGCCCUUAUGUUUGGGAUAAGCCUGCGAAAGCGGGUCUAAUACCGGAUGUGGUCUGGGAAUGGCAUCUUUCCCUGAUCAAAGGUGGUUGAGUCUAUGCCACCGCAUGAGGAUUGCCUCGCGCUCCAUUAGCUUGAUGGUGGGGUAACGGCCCACCAUGGCUGCGAUGGAUAGCCGGCCUGAGAGGGUGAUCGGCCACACUGGGACUGAGAUACGGCCCAGACUCCUACGGGAGGCAGCAGUAGGGAAUCUUGCGCAAUGGGCGAAAGCCUGACGCAGCGACGCCGCGUGGAUGACGAAGCUCCUUGGAGUGUAAAAUCCUUUCGGUGGGGACGAACAACGGCGACAGGAAAUGGUCGCCGCCUGACUGUACCCACAAAAGAAGUCCCGGCUAACUCCGUGCCAGCAGCCGCGGUAACACGGGGGGGACAAGCGUUGUUCGGAUUCACUGGGCGUAAAGAGCACGUAGGCGGAAGGGCAAGUCAGAUGUGAAAACCCGGGGCUUAACCGCGGGCCUGCAUUUGAAACUGCUUUUCUUGAGUACCGGAGAGGAUGGCAGAAUUCCUGGUGUAGCGGUGAAAUGCGUAGAUAUCAGGAAGAAUACCGGUGGCGAAGGCGACCAUCUGGACGGAUACUGACGCUGAGGUGCGAAGGCCGGGGAGCAAACAGGAUUAGAUACCCUGGUAGUCCCGGCAGUAAACGAUGGGUACUAGGUGUUGGGGGUAUCGACCCCCUCAGUGCCGCAGUUAACGCAUUAAGUACCCUGCCUGGGGAGUACGGCCGCAAGGUUGAAACUCAAAGGAAUUGACGGGGGCCCGCACAAGCGGUGGAGUAUGUGGUUUAAUUCGACGCAACGCGAAGAACCUUACCUGGGUUUGAACUCUGUAUGACAGGUGUAGAGAUAUACCCUCCCACGGGCAGACAGAGAGGUGCUGCAUGGUUGUCGUCAGCUCGUGUCGUGAGAUGUUGGGUUAAGUCCCGCAACGAGCGCAACCCUCACUCCUUGUUGCCAUCAGGUAAAGCUGGGCACUCUAGGGGAACUGCCGGUGACAAACCGGAGGAAGGUGGGGAUGACGUCAAAUCAGCACGGCCUUUAUGUCCAGGGCUACACACGUGCUACAAUGGCCGGUACAAAGAGUUGCGAUGCCGCGAGGUGGAGCUAAUCUCAAAAAACCGGUCUCAGUUCGGAUUGCAGUCUGCAACUCGACUGCAUGAAGCCGGAAUUGCUAGUAAUCGCGGAUCAGCACGCCGCGGUGAAUACGUUCCCGGGCCUUGUACACACCGCCCGUCACACCACCCGAGUUGGCAGCACCCGAAGUGGCUGAUCUAACCCUUUCGAGGGAGGAAGGUUAUUAAGGUGAGGCGAGUAAGGGGGGUGAAGUCGUAACAAG
rnacentral:rRNA from 1 species